CCCGCUUCUCUGCUCCCGCAGGCGGCAGCGGCAUGUAGUUAUCAACGCAGAAGGAUUAGGGGGUUUAAUUUGAUCUGCAAACUCUACCCAUAUUUUCCCAUCAGCUUCACUGACAGCAUAAUUUGUGUAGGGCUUUUCCGUAGAUGGCACUGGCAUAGCUACUGCAAUCUCCAUCUUUUCCCUUAGUUGGAUAGCCCACUUAUUGCAAACUCUGCCCAUAUUAUCCCAUCGGCCUCUACUGCUUACUAUCACCAGCUAAGACAGAGGCAGGUUCGUGUAUCUACAAGAAAUUUCUCUUUUGGUAGGGUUCUGUAAUGUUUUUAUUUUUUAGCCGAUAGGCUCUAAGUGGGAGCUUUUGCUCCCGGAAAGGUGAUAUUUAUGCCGGAAUAUUGUCAGCCUGCUUGCUUCUGUCCGGCGACCAAGCAGCUGAAAGUAGACCAGGUCUUCUGGCACAUAAUCUGUUGCCACGUUUACUAUUGGCGUGGCUGUUUUCUUGCAAAGGAGAUCAGAUUAAACUUAUCGACUGUCAUGGGGAUAAACCGCCUGGCAUUGAAAUCAUUAUCGUAUCAGCAGCCUUCAGGAAUAAGUAACCCCAAUUUUUAAAUCCCUGCGAGAAUGAAAAUGCCAAAAGCCACCCGUUACGAUUCUGAAAUCAUGCAUCGCAAAGACAGCUGCAAUGAAGGAGCCUCUGAUUUUCUCGUUCGCGUGCUUGGACAUUAUCGUGGUCGACAGAGGCCAAUCUCCACCUAUGCGGAACCCUAGCCAGAAUUCGAAGAACACAGGCUUGCCAUCACAGAUUUGGCUGUGUUGUCGAAUGAUAACCUUGACGCUAUCGAUGCCAACACCGUCAGGGUUAGGGUUAGUUCAUAUCUUUCUUUUGGUCUAUUCUGUCGCCAAGCCAGCCCAAGUAGAGGUGCCCUGCUAGGGUUCUGCACAAAGCCACUCCAUGUACAGUCAUUGAAGCUUUUGGCGGCAGGGCGUUGGGCGUGGUUUGUUUUCAUUGUAGUAAUAGAUCAUUUGUGGCAGCUUCGUUACUGUGGAUAUUUAAAUGGGAUCGUAGGCAUCUAAGAAGAAACCCACGAAGUUAUGGGAGCACAAUCACCGUAACAAGAAACUAAUCUUCACAACAUUAACGAUAUCAUAUUUUCAGAAUUCAAAUUGUAAACCUUUGCAGUUUCUGGAAUAAAUUUUAUGUUGAAAACAACUACUACAAUUUUUAGCGAAGGUGGCCUGCAUAGCCUUUCUCUAGAUCACAAUGUAAAGGGUGAUGACCGGAUAUUUAUUAUCGUUUGCAAGCGGCAAAAUUUCACACCGUUCUUCCUUUGUACAUGUUUUUUUGGUACUUAGUUCUUCUGAUCUUAAUGCAGAUAGAUGGGUGAAUGCCUUUACGUGGAGUUGCUACUUGGACAGAUAGGUUGCAGAUAUGAGCGUGUUAGUUUAUUUUUUAUUAUUAUUUCAUGUCAUUUUGCCUUUUAUUUUGCAGGAUACAACUUUUCCUGAGACUGUCCACCAUGGCAAAGCUUCAGGAAGAUAAUAUAAUUCGGGAGGAGGUUAGGAUUCAUGGAGUUGAAAGAUGGCACCUUAACUGCUAUUCAGACACUAAUUUCUUGCUUAUCUGGAGAUAUAAGUGAUUCUUAACCAUCUUUAAUUCAUUGUUCUUUUCUUGUUCAUCCUUCUGUGUUCUUUAUAUUUGUCUUAAAAUUUGAUAAUGUAAUUCAUGAAAAGUUUGGCUGAAAUGGGAUGGAAAUUUAUUCCUUGAAAGGUUUUGUGCUUUAAUUAAACAUAAUAAGUGGUUAUUGCA